rnacentral:lncRNA from 1 species
UCAUAUAGUAAAAAAAGGAAAUUAAACAAACCAAAAAAACAAAUUAAGAGAUACUUCCUCCGUCCCUGAAAUGGCUUCCUCUUUGGGGACGGCACGAGUUUUAAGGAAAAAUUGUAAAGUGUAUUGAUAGUGGAGAAAAAAUGUUAUGAUUAUAAUUGGAAGUUGUGAAAAUAUGUUAUAAUUAGUAUUGAGAGUAGUGAAAAGUGAAAAGUGAAAAGUAAAAAUAAAUAAAGUAUUAUUAGUGAUGGGGUAGUUGUCCAAAAAUGAAAAGAAAAAAAGAUGAAGUUAUUUGGGGGACAUCUCAAAAAAGAAAAAGAGGAAGUUAUUUCAGGGACGGAGGGAGUAUAACUUAAGAGAAAAAAAGAUGCACAAUAAAAAAAUUUAAAAAUUAAAAAUUAAAAAAAAUACACCUCUUUAAGUGGCAUGGAGGAUUCAAACCCGCAACCUCCAUUACAUGUGAAUGAUACUUUGCCACCUUACUCGGCAAUAGCAACCAUAUUAAUUCAUGGUUGAAAAUUAACUUAUCUGUUGUUGUCGUGUAAUUAUUGAAAAAAAAAAUCACCCCUUUAAGGAGCAUGGAGGCUUCGAAUCCACGACCUCCAUUACAUGUGAAUGAUACUUUGCCACCUUACCCAGCAGUGGCAGCCACAUUAAUUUAUGGUUGGAAAUUAACUUAUGCGUUGUUGUCGUGUAAUUAUUGAAAAGAAAAAAAAAAUCACCCCUUUAAGGGGCACGUAGGAUUCGAACCCGCGACCCC